rnacentral:misc_RNA from 1 species
AAGUCGUAACAAGGUCUCCGUAGGUGAACCUGCGGAGGGAUCAUUACCGAGUUCAUGCCCUGACGGGUAGAUCUCCCACCCCGUGUUAUAGAAACCUCUGUUGCUUUAGCGGGCCGCCAGGCUCCGUCCAGGCUACCGGCGCUGGCUGGUACGCGCCCGCUAGAGGACCCAAACCCUGAAAUCAGUGUCGUCCGAGUACCACAAAAUCGUUAAAACUUUCAACAACGGAUCUCUUGGUUCUG